UUGGAUGGUUUUGAAAGUGAUGGCCUCAGUUUAUCUGGACAACAGGUGCAGUAGAAGUAGCAGCAGAGCAAGCUGCCUCGCGGAUCUCUGCAAGGGUACCUCAAGUCUGGCAAACAGGGACCACCUCAGGGGAUGAGAAGGGUGUUCAGGCUCCAUUCCCAUUCAGUGCUUGGCCUGU
rnacentral:sRNA from 1 species